rnacentral:rRNA from 1 species
UACAGAGGUCUCAAGCGUUGUUCGGAUUCAUUGGGCGUAAAGGGUGCGUAGGCGGCGCGGUAAGUCGGGUGUGAAAUCUCGGGGCUUAACUCCGAAACUGCAUUCGAUACUGCCGUGCUUGAGGACUGGAGAGGAGACUGGGAAUUUACGGUGUAGCGGUGAAAUGCGUAGAUAUCGUAAGGAAGACCAGUGGCGAAGGCGGGUCUCUGGACAGUUCCUGACGCUGAGGCACGAAGGUCAGGGGAGCAAACGGG